rnacentral:rRNA from 1 species
ACAGCAGUCGCCGCGGUAAUACGUAGGUAGCAAGCGUUGUCCGGAAUUAUUGGGCGUAAAGGGCUCGCAGGCGGUUUCUUAAGUCUGAUGUGAAAGCCCCCGGCUCAACCGGGGAGGGUCAUUGGAAACUGGGAAACUUGAGUGCAGAAGAGGAGAGUGGAAUUCCACGUGUAGCGGUGAAAUGCGUAGAGAUGUGGAGGAACACCAGUGGCGAAGGCGACUCUCUGGUCUGUAACUGACGCUGAGGAGCGAAAGCGUGGGGAGCGAACAGGAUUAGAUACCCCUGUAGUCCCUGUCUCUUAUAC